rnacentral:antisense_RNA from 1 species
GCCAGUAGUUAGGGGGUUUGGUGAUGGCUAAUUAUCGCCUGUUUUUCUUAUUAUUACGUGUACGUAGCCAAUGCGUAAACACCGUAACUUUACAAC